UCUCCGCUGCUGGACUCGAACCAGCAUCUCACAGGGCUACAACCUGGCGCUCUUCCAAUUAAGCUAAGCGAAG
rnacentral:tRNA from 1 species